AAUGUUGGAUGAAGCAUUCUGAUGUGAUUGUGCUGUUUGUUCCCUUUACCAGGGGUCACUCCCAUUGAUGGAGCUCCCCACCGAUCAUACAGUGAGUGCUACCCUGUCCUGCUGGACGGCGUCAUGGUUGGCUGGGUGGAUAAGGAGCUUGCUCCAGGCAUCGCAGAUUCUCUUCGUCAUUUUAAGGUGUUGAGAGAGAAAAGAAUUCCUCCCUGGACGGAAGUGGUCCUUAUACCCAUGACAGGAAAACCAAGUCUGUACCCAGGAUUGUUCCUUUUUACCACUCCUUGUAGACUGGUACGGCCUGUGCAGAACUUAGAAUUGGGCAAAGAAGAGCUAAUUGGAACUAUGGAACAGAUCUUCAUGAAUGUCGCUAUCUUUGAGGAUGAGGUUUUUGCUGGAGUUACCACACACCAGGAACUCUUUCCACACAGCCUGCUGAGUGUGAUUGCCAACUUCAUCCCUUUCUCUGAUCACAACCAGAGUCCACGGAACAUGUACCAGUGCCAGAUGGGUAAGCAAACUAUGGGCUUUCCACUUCUCACUUAUCA
rnacentral:sRNA from 1 species